rnacentral:lncRNA from 1 species
GGACCCGACACGAACUCAUAUAUUGUGGAAACAUGGAAAAACGAAUGGAUCUCUUCCAUUGAAGUGGGUAAACCUAACUCGUGGGAUGCAUUCCCAAAUCCUUUGCAGGAUUUCAAGGAGUCCAAUGUAUCCGAGAGCUGAUUUACCUUUCUGCCCAUAACGAAUCACCCUCUCUUUAGGAGACACCUCCAGCAAACCUCAACUUCCUCGAGAACCUCAACACGCUUCCGCUGCGCACUCUGACAAAACUCUUCUCGCUUCUGAAACUCUACA